rnacentral:rRNA from 1 species
GACGAACGCUGGCGGCGUGCCUAAUACAUGCAAGUCGAACGCAGUGGGGAAGGUUGAGUAACACGUGGUUAACCUCUCCAUCAGCGGGGAUAACCCUUUGAAACCGGUGCUAAACCGAUAUUGAUGGAUGGAACCGAGGGGCAUUCGCUAGUUGGUGAGGUAACGGCUCACCAAGGCCACGAUGCAUAGCCGACCUGAGAGGGUGAUCGGCCACACUGGGACGGAGACACGGCCCAGACUCCUACGGGAGGCAGCAGUAGGGAAUCUGCGGCAAUGGACGAAAGUCUGACCGAGCAACGCCGCGUGAGUGAAGAAGGGUUUCGGAUCGUAAAGCUCUGUUGUUAGAGAAGCGGUAUCUAACCAGAAAGCCACGGCUAACUACGUGCCAGCAGCCGCGGUAAUAC